GGGGACGACUUGGCUUCGACAGGAGCAGAGUGGUCGUGGUGGCAUGUCGCUUUGGACAAAGCGUAAAAAGUCCAAAUUAAAUUUAAACGCAAACAACGUUAAAUUCGCUCCUGCUUACGCUAAAGUUGCGUAAGUUCAGUUGAGCCCUUUGUCCUUUGAUACUAUCUAAGAGGAUGCAAAGGUUAUUUAGAUAGUGUAGUUUUGGGGUCUGACGAGCCUUAAAGCGAAGCCUAGUCUUAGUCUAAAUUUUGGUUUUGGAAAGUGAGCCUUUUUAGAUGAAAAUUUCACUUUUGCUAAGCAUGUAGAGGCUGCGGUUGUUUUGUUUUUGGACAGGGGUUCGAUCCCCCUCGUCUCCACCA
rnacentral:tmRNA from 1 species